CCUACGGGUGGCAGCAGUGGGGAAUAUUGCACAAUGGGCGCAAGCCUGAUGCAGCCAUGCCGCGUGUGUGAAGAAGGCCUUCGGGUUGUAAAGCACUUUCAGCGGGGAGGAAGGCGGUGAGGUUAAUAACCUCAUCGAUUGACGUUACCCGCAGAAGAAGCACCGGCUAACUCCGUGCUAGCAGCCGCGGUAAUACGGAGGGUGCAAGCGUUAAUCGGAAUUACUGGGCGUAAAGCGCACGCAGGCGGUCUGUCAAGUCGGAUGUGAAAUCCCCGGGCUCAACCUGGGAACUGCAUUCGAAACUGGCAGGCUAGAGGCUUGUAGAGGGGGGUAGAAUUCCAGGUGUAGCGGUGAAAUGCGUAGAGAUCUGGAGGAAUACCGGUGGCGAAGGCGGCCCCCUGGACAAAGACUGACGCUCAGGUGCGAAAGCGUGGGGAGCAAACAGGAUUAGAUACCCGUGUAGUC
rnacentral:rRNA from 1 species